GACGAACGCUGGCGGCGUGCUUAACACAUGCAAGUCGAACGGAAAGGCCCUGCUUUUGUGGGGUGCUCGAGUGGCGAACGGGUGAGUAACACGUGAGUAACCUGCCCUUGACUUUGGGAUAACUUCAGGAAACUGGGGCUAAUACCGGAUAGGAGCUCCUGCUGCAUGGUGGGGGUUGGAAAGAUUCGGCGGUUGGGGAUGGACUCGCGGCUUAUCAGCUUGUUGGUGGGGUAGUGGCUUACCAAGGCUUUGACGGGUAGCCGGCCUGAGAGGGUGACCGGCGACAUUGGGACUGAGAGACGGACCAGACGCCUACGGGCGGCAGCAGUGGGGAAUAUUGCACAAUGGGCGGAAGCCUGAUGCAGCAACGCCGCGUGCGGGAUGACGGCCUUCGGGUGGUAAACCGCUUUCGCCUGUGACGAAGCGUGAGUGACGGUAAUGGGUAAAGAAGCAACGGCUAACUACGUG
rnacentral:rRNA from 1 species